AUCCCACAAACUUUCGCAGGCACAAAUUCGAAUGACUUUCAGCCCCAGGAAGCAGCGCCCUCCGCGGGCAAACUUUUCUUUGGGUGUCAUCUAAGGGGCGGCACGCUAACAGGCAGAGCCGAAGCUUCUCUUUUCCUCACGGCUUCCCCCUCUAAUGCCCCCGGGCCUCCUCCUGCCCCCGCUCCCGUUCGCCGGCAACCCGCUCACCAUGUAGAGCAUAUUGGAGGCAGAGGGCUUGACUUGGCUGCGGAACUUGUUGUGGAUGUCGAUGUAUUGCUUGAUAAAGGAUGAGUUUCAAUAAGGAUGAGCAGUCCACACUCCUACCACCAGUCCAUUACCUCUGAACAACUUUUGUGGCCUUUUGAAUUCUAUCUGCAGUUGUUGAAACUAAAGGAACAAAAUAUUGCCAUUUUGAGCUGGGAAAAACAUAACUACAGUGUUAUCCCUAAAAUGAACAUUUUGUUUUGUUCAUUUUAUUGACUGUACUUGUUGUGACCCCGACUCCCGAGCCUAUCUUAACAGAGGAAGAGGACUCAGAAGGUGAUGGGGAGGAACUGACAAGGCCUCCCUCUCCAGGACCCUCCUUUCUGGCAAUGCCUCAGGUUUCAUCCGAAGGCCAGGAGGAACAGCCUGGGAUGUGCCAGGAGGAAGGCAUAUCGGAGUACCAAUUGAUAGGGAGCAAGGAUGAUGAAUCCUGGCUUGAUCCCAGGCAGCAUCGGAGGGAGAAAUGUGCGCAGCAAUGGAAGAGGCGUGGGAGGGCCAGAGAUUGAGCUGAGUCACGGAGCCACGUCCCACCAGGAAUAAAAGUGGGUGGGAUUGCUCUUCAGGCUUUGUGACAGACAAAGUUAAACCCUGAAAGUCACAUCGUGGUCUCUGAAAUUCGGCUUGGAUAUAUUUUGGACUGAACAUUGACUAAACUCUUGUCUCGUGGAUAAUUUGUUGCUCCUGGAACGGACUGAAGAUAAGUCAUUUUCUGCUUUAUGGGAGUGAAAACAGUCUUGGCAGGCAUUCAGAAGUUUGCUGCCAAAACCUUGGUCUGCCAAGAAUUCUAAUCUGUUUACCUAAUAAAAUAUUGGCAGGCGUGCUUGGUAUUACGUUUGCCUGUGUGAGGAAGGGGGACAGAACAGUACUUUUAUUGGUGAAUGACUGAAAUAAAGUUGUCUGUCUUACUAUA